CAGCAGGGCCAGCCCGGGUUUGGUAGGCGACGCAAACUUCGCUGCUGUUCACUGAUUGGCGGAGGGCGUGGUCAGAAGAGUGAGGCGAAGAGAGAAGAAAAAUGAAGGCGCAACGUUUGAAACUCGCUGCAACACAGAAGUGAUGGAAGAUACAAACAAGCCAUGAACUAAAAGAUGCCGGCUUUUUUCUUUCGGAUUUCAAUAUUCAACCGGCAGCUCAGAGCCGACGGAGCCCCACGGUGAACACUGACUCAGACGCAGCUAACGCCGCUGCUGCUCUCCAGCCAGGGAGCAGGAGAGCAACAUGGCUGACAUGAUGGAGAACAUCAGAACACCUGGAUCUACUUCAGGAGGAAGCAGCUACCAGCAGAGAUGGCAGAGCAACAAGGAGAGUUGAGACAAACAAAAGAAAAAUAAAAGUUGUUGUGUCUCAGUGAA